rnacentral:rRNA from 1 species
UACGGAGGUGGCGAGCGUUGUUCGGAAUUACUGGGCGUAAAGGGCGCGUAGGCGGGGCGAGAAGUCGGGUGUGAAAGCCCUCGGCUCAACCGAGGAAUGGCGCUCGAGACUCUCGUUCUUGAGUCCCGGAGAGGACGGUGGAAUUCCCGGUGUAGCGGUGAAAUGUGUAGAGAUCGGGAGGAACACCGGUGGCGAAGGCGGCCGUCUGGACGGUGACUGACGCUGAGGCGCGAAAGCGUGGGGAGCAAACGGG